CAAGAGAGGAGCGACUGUCUACUUCGUUUUGUUUUCUCGAAGACCUAAUGCUUUAAUGAAUUCACUCGGAGCUUUUCCUGUUACCUUGCUCUUGUUCCAUGAUUAUAGUCUCCUCUAUUCCCCUGAGAACGUUAGUAACUCAACUGACUGGUGAUCUUUGGCUUUCCGUUUAUUCUUGCAAAUGCUUGACUUUGUGCUGAGUAAACAGGGAGAAAGCUAUUAAGCUGACCUUGUGAAGAGGAAGUCCUUUACUCACAGGAGACCUGCUCUGUGGCGGAUUCCUGAGAUUCCACUGGCUUUGUUGUGAUGCCUCAUCCUGCUGACCUCUCAGCCCAGAAGCCCCAAGGCUCACCACUCACCAAAGGAGCCCCGUCUCAGGCACCACCUCAAAGCCAGCUCUACGGGGAUGCUUACGUGGGCUCAGUCC